rnacentral:lncRNA from 1 species
UUAUUUUUUUUAUAUUUUUAGUUGUAGUUGAUAACAUCCCAGUUUAAUUCACAAUCUUUUCUGACAUAUAUCCACAUAAAUUUGAGGUCCCUUUUCUGAAAAUACACUAAAAUUACUCAUGCUUGCCUGUAAUGUUGUAAAAUGUUGAUGAGAGAACACUUACAAACGCACACCACUAUUUAAGCACACUUACUUUCUCUUUAAAGAAGCAAAGUGGCUCAAAUAGGAACCAAGCUCAAGAAACUACACAAAAACCAAGUGAGAUUAAAGGUGUUAACUUCACCAACCUGUUGCUCCCAUCUGUUAGCAUUUUUAUCUUUCAGACAGGGAGUCACUGUACAGCCCAGGAUGGCCUGCUGGAGUUCCAGGCCCAACAUCACAUCCAGGUUCUCCUCUCUCAAAUAUCUGAACCCUCGGUGUGUCUGGGUUUAAACUCUCCCAGUGUUAAAUGGAAGGCUGCCAUGGAUGGAGAUAUUGUCACAAUAAGAGACAAUAUAGAAUAGAGAGUGUAAGGCAAGCAAACAGCACACUGGGUGCUGGCCAUGCUCACACUCCAGUUAGACCAGACUACCCAGGCUCGCUGGGCUCAAAGGCUGAUCUGGACCUUGUGGGUCAUUCUUACUUUAUUGGGUUUUCUUUUGUUUCACAGUUGCUCGUUCCACUAUUUUGUAAUUAUGGCGAGGCCAGAGCUUUUGUUAGUCUAAGAAUACUGAGCCACACCUCAAAUGUCUGCCUCAAAUGUUUUUAUCCUUCUGAACAAAUGCCUGAUUUCCACCUACAAUUAUUUUAAAAGAUAUACAGUAAGUCAGCUGAAAAGAGAGGUGGGGUAUGGGGCUAAGGACUGCCACCACCCUUGGGCACAGCACUGAGGAGUGGGUUGCUCAGUGGUGGUGGUUAGGACCAGCUAGUGAGUCUUCUCCAGGAAGGCCUUGCAGCACCUAAGGCAUUGCUGGUACACCACCUCGAAGUCAGAGUCAUUGCCAUAAUAGG